rnacentral:rRNA from 1 species
UGGGGAAUUGUUCGCAAUGGGCGCAAGCCUGACGACGCAACGCCGCGUGGAGGAUGAAGACCUUCGGGUCGUAAACUCCUUUCGACCGAGAAGAAUGGCCCACGACCUCAUACGUCGUGGGCAUGACGGUAUCGAGGGAAGAAGCCCCGGCUAACUCUGUGCCAGCAGCCGCGGUAAUACAGGGGGGGCAAGCGUUGUUCGGAAUUACUGGGCGUAAAGGGUCUGUAGGUGGCCAACUAAGUCAAACGUGAAAUCCCUCAGCUUAACUGGGGAACUGCGUCUGAUACUGGAUGGCUCGAGUGUGGGAGAGGAAUGCGGAAUUCCAGGUGUAGCGGUGAAAUGCGUAGAUAUCUGGAGGAACACCGGUGGCGAAGGCGGCAUUCUGGACCACAACUGACACUGAGAGACGAAAGCCAGGGGAGCAAACGG